rnacentral:rRNA from 1 species
GACGAACGCUGGCGGCGUGCUUAACACAUGCGAGUCGAACGGAAAGGCCCUGCUUUUGUGGGGUGCUCGAGUGGCGAACGGGUGAGUAACACGUGAGUAACCUGCCCUUGACUUUGGGAUAACCUCAGGAAACUGGGGCUAAUACCGGAUAGGAGCUCCUGCUGCAUGGUGGGGGUUGGAAAGUUUCGGCGGUUGGGGAUGGACUCGCGGCUUAUCAGCUUGUUGGUGGGGUAGUGGCUUACCAAGGCUUUGACGGGUAGCCGGCCUGAGAGGGUGACCGGCCACAUUGGGACUGAGAGACGGCCCAGACUCCUACGGGAGGCAGCAGGGGGGAAUAUUGCACAAUGGGCGGAAGCCUGAUGCAGCAACGCCGCGUGCGGGAUGACGGCCUUCGGGUUGUAAACCGCUUUCGCCUGUGACGAAGCGUGAGUGACGGUAAUGGGUAAAGAAGCACCGGCUAACUACGUG